GUGGAAUUCCCUCAUGCAGGAGUUUGCACUGGAUGCCUUUACAAAGCUGGAUACUCUGGGAGCAGCGUGGGCUGAUGGAAUAGGAACUAGCCUGAGCGAUCUUUACGAGCUGAGAUCCUGCACAUCGCAGAAGGGUUUGUUUCUCCGCGCAAAAGCUGGGACCCUGUAGAAACCUGCUUUAAAAAACAAGUGACCAAAAUACUCAAAUGCACCAGACUUCUUCAUGAACUCGCCAUGAAUAUAUUUUUCAUUUUUUUUGGCAGAAACGUGUGUGUAACUUUCUCUGGAGGAACCGAGGAUUUUUGUAGUUGGUCUUCUAGUAUUUUAAAUCUGAGAACCCAGUAGAGUCUUUUCUGCAGUGAUGAGGGAGUGACAAGUUGGAGUUUCUGUCAGUGCACCUGGAAACUGUGAGCAGCUAAAGCCUGCUGCCAAGCCCCCAAUGGGACCAAGGCCAAACUCCUGCGCUCCUCACAGGGAUGAAGGUAGAGCCAUGUUACCUGCUACCUAAGCUCGCUGGUGCUGAUGUGGUUUGUGGAUAUGGUCCCAGACCAGGC